GGCCUCAAGUGAUGUGUGACUACCCCCUAAA
rnacentral:rRNA from 1 species